UGAGUGUCUCUUUGCUCCCAGCAUUACCCCAGAGUCAACAGGUCAACCAUGGCUUUAAAAAACCCUUUGAUAUUCAUUCCCCUCAAGGUAUUGGGGUGUUCACUCCACAAUCAGCCAUGCAAGCAUUAGAAAUGCUGCAACCUGUUUGUUAUUUGAUGCCCUUUUUUGACCUAUUUUUUUUAGUGAUGUGUUAUUGAUUCCAUUUACCUGUUGUGUUUUCACUGUUCCCCUUUCCUUCCCAUCUAAUAUCUCAGUAAGUUUCCUUUUUGUGGCAUAAUCUUAACUUUGACGAAGAUUCAGUUCUGCUUUUCAUUUGAAUUCUAAGGGUUUUCACAAGAAUUUGAGGAAGCUGAAAUGCAGUUCUCCAUCUUGAAUAGAUGUUAUGCAAUUCUAUAAAGUGUUGUGGAUUUCUUGUCUUAUCAGUAACAAAAUGUGGAUGAGGAGCAUGAACUACACUUGAUUCCCAAGAGAAUGUAGGAAGAAAGGAAGCUGAACACCUUCUCAUAAGAUGAGAAGGGAGCAUUGUAUGGGGACCCUCAGCUUUUUCUUUUAGAAUUUCUUAUUCACACAGAGCAGUAACACUGGCUCAGAGGACUCUAAGCAGGCCUCUCAUUCUUCUUCAAGCCCUUUCUUACCACAAAUGUUAACAAAGUCAAAGACAACACUCAAAUGUGUAGCUGGUAGCUGCACCAGGUAGUAGCCCUCUAUUUGUUAACAGAGUAAAGGGCUCUAGAAGCUGGGUAGCACCUACAGCUGCCAACUCACAUUCUACAUGGGCAGGCACAGCUGUUUGUGGUUUUCCCCCUCCCUGGAGCGUUAUUUUGCUAGCACCUGGCAAAUGCACCUGGUAGGGGUUUCUGGGACUGAGGAACAAACAGCACUGAACACACUCAUUGUGCUGGCUGAGAAAGAGCACCCCAAAAUAGCAUUUGAAAGUGGCAAAGGCAAAUAACCCUUCCUGCAGCUACAGGUCAAGAUAAUUCUGAGCUGGACAGUUCCUUCCUACUAAUAAUUAAAUACACUCAUGGAAAAGCAAUUUUCUGUCUUCAUUAAGAGGACAUCAAGAGCUUUCCCAGAGUUUGAGACAUGGUGCAUGCACAGCACUGGGACAGCCCCCACCAAAAGAAAGUGGGACUUCAGGCAUGUCUAUAUGAGAAAUGUGGCAUGCAAACCCCCAUGUCCCUCUCCACAAUGUCUCAUUUUCUACAACUGCUGAAGAUUUAAGCAGCUGGAUGCAGUAGGGAGCUGCUGAAGAUGGGGGUGAGGCAAAGUCCUGGGUGUCAAUGUGCCCUCCAACCUUGUGAAAGCUUGGGCAUGUAUCUCAAAUUUAUGGCUGGGGUUCCAACGAGGAGUAAUUGUUGUAAUUGGAGUCCAAGAGCAGUAGUUGCUGUGCUAGAGUACCUGAAAUGGUGAAAUCUCCUUUCACUGUCAGGUGCUGAGCACGCAGAGGCUUGGAGGGGUGGCUCACUGCAAUAAUCUGGUGACAAGUGUUGACUUAUGGAGCUCUGUCAAGGAACUGCACUUCCUUCUUCUGCUGCCUGAACUUUAUCUGCAAACAAAGGCCCCAAGCCAGGUGUCUCUGUGGCAAGAAAUGUUAAGAGUGACAGCAGAUAUUACAAAGCUUAUUUCUUAGCAUGAUUUCUCAUAAUCACAUUGUAAAAUCCAUGUUUUCAUAUUUUGCUACACAGUAGGAAUGUCCAAGUAGAGCUGUUUAAGAGGUGUAACUUCACCCUAGUUUCAGUGAUUAUAAAGAACAGGAAACAACUUAAGGAAGAAAGAAGCAAAAGUUAACCCUAUGCUAGAAGUUGUUCCUGCAUUUGCUAGCUGGAGUGCUCAAUAAAACUUAUAUGCAAUUUAUAUCUUUUUUCCAAUGUAAUUUGCAAGUAUUCAUAAAUCAAUCCUUACAACACUCUUGUGGAUUGAGUACAAAUUUCUUUUCAACUAAGCAAAAGUACAGACUUGUCACUGUACAGUGGCUCGUUAAGAAGAUGUUGAACUUAUUGUGCCACUCCAGACCUGGUAGCACUGGAUCCAAACUUUUGGUUUGGAUCCUUUGGCUGAUGGCCACUAAGGUACCUUUGCACAGACAGUGCCUGUCUGCCAGGAGUGCUGGAGACUCGAGCCAGCUGCCUGUCAGUCAUACACUGACUAUAAAAGAUCGACUUUAAAGCAGGAUCUGCCAUUAAAAAAUAACUUCCACGUCCAAACAAGCCUUAUGUACACAGCCUUAUCUAGAGAACCCUAGAUUGCCUCCACUCUGAGAUAACAAAGAAACCUUAGCCAGGACCACAUCUCAGUGGAUGAAACGAGUGCCUGUGUCAGGUGCUGCCCAGUCAAGGAGGAUCUGCUCUGUAUCAAACAGGAUCCAGAGCCUGUAAACCCAUGGAUUGCUCCUGCAUGCCUUGAGGCACAGCCAAAAUGUCUUUCUCUUCUUGUGCUAAGGCCAAAAUGCUUUUCCCAGGCAGCAUUCAUGCAGAUCCAUCUCAUUCAUACAUGGAGGAAAAAGGUGGUUUCAUGAAUUAUUUUAUGCCCUGUCAUUUUAAGGUGGUUAAUUCAAAGUCUGAGAUUCCUUUUUUUACUGAAAGCUCCUUCAGGUCCUAGAACCAGGAAGAUAUCUCCAAUCAAAGGAAGUCCAUCACACGAAUCUCUGAGUAGAAACAUUCCUUGGCACAUAAGACUUAAUGGUGAAUGUUCAAAAUUUCUUUAUGGUUGUUUUCAUUGGAAUACCUUGAAGCAGGGAUACUCUGUAGUCAGGACACACAGCCCUGUUCUUUGCUUGAGUAAUUUCAGAUUUACAAUAGAAUUCAUUUAAACUUAUGUAGAAUGGAUUCAUUUUAUCUAAAUGAAGAGUCUAACUGUCAAGUGGACAAGUAUUUCAUGUUAACCCUGGGGUUCCUCUUUCUCCUGGCCCUAUCAUCCAAAACAUGCUUAGCCCUUGCCUGUUAUUUUCCUAAUGUAUGUGGAGUACAGUGCCAAACCGAGAUAGUGAUUCAAAGUUAAGUAAAUAUUCCUGAAGAAUUUAAUAUUCAUUGAACUUAACCUAGCAAUUUGAAUAAAAAAUUUAU